rnacentral:rRNA from 1 species
UGACGACACAGGUGCUGCAUGGCUGUCGUCAGCUCGUGUCGUGAGAUGUUGGGUUAAGUCCCGCAACGAGCGCAACCCUUGUCAUUAGUUGCCAUCAUUUGGUUGGGCACUCUAAUGAGACUGCCGGUGACAAACCGGAGGAAGGUGGGGAUGACGUCAAGUCCUCAUGGCCCUUAUGGGUAGGGCUUCACACGUCAUACAAUGGUCGGUACAGAGGGUUGCCAACCCGCGAGGGGGAGCUAAUCCCACAAAGCCGAUCGUAGUCCGGAUCGCAGUCUGCAACUCGACUGCGUGAAGUCGGAAUCGCUAGUAAUCGUGGAUCAGCAUGUCACGGUGAAUACGUUCCCGGGUCUU